rnacentral:rRNA from 1 species
AUUGAACGCUGGCGGUAGGCUUAACACAUGCAAGUCGAGCGGUAACAGUCCUUCGGGAGCUGACGAGCGGCGGACGGGUGAGUAACGCGUAGAAAACUGCCCGGUAGUGGAGGAUAGCCCAGAGAAAUUUGGAUUAAUACUGCAUACGCUCUACGGAGGAAAGCGGGCUUCGGCUCGCGCUAUCGGAUGUGUCUGCGUGAGAUUAGCUAGUUGGUGAGGUAAUGGCUCACCAAGGCGACGAUCUCUAGCUGGUCUGAGAGGAUGAUCAGCCACACUGGGACUGAGACACGGCCCAGACUCCUACGGGAGGCAGCAGGUGGGGAAUAUUGCAACAAGUCGGGGGAAACCCUGAUGCAGCCAUACCGCGUGUGU